rnacentral:rRNA from 1 species
UAGGGAAUCUUCGGCAAUGGACGAAAGUCUGACCGAGCAACGCCGCGUGAGUGAAGAAGGUUUUCGGAUCGUAAAACUCUGUUGUUAGAGAAGAACAAGGACGUUAGUAACUGAACGUCCCCUGACGGUAUCUAACCAGAAAGCCACGGCUAACUACGUGCCAGCAGCCGCGGUAAUACGUAGGUGGCAAGCGUUGUCCGGAUUUAUUGGGCGUAAAGCGAGCGCAGGCGGUUUCUUAAGUCUGAUGUGAAAGCCCCCGGCUCAACCGGGGAGGGUCAUUGGAAACUGGGAGACUUGAGUGCAGAAGAGGAGAGUGGAAUUCCAUGUGUAGCGGUGAAAUGCGUAGAUAUAUGGAGGAACACCAGUGGGGAAGGCGGCUCUCUGGUCUGUAACUGACGCUGAGGCUCGAAAGCGUGGGGAGCAAACAGG